UUGACAGAUUGCAGUUGGUAGCCUGCUGUCUUCAAUGUGUUCCAUGCAUAAACAAGCAAUUUCAUAAGUCUGUUUUGUUCGUUCCGUGUUGUUCUGUAUUGUUUUCGAUCUUUUGUGUUUUUUUGUGUUGUGUGAAAAAAAAAUAUGAGUGAGGCAGAAGUGGUUUCGGACAAAGAAGACACCCUCCUGCUCCAGCUUCUCCAGGAGUUUCAUCAGCCCAGUGUUUAUGGGUAUUUAAAAGGUAACAUACAACUGCUUGCAAUAUAUGAAAGGUGAAAAUUAAGGAAGCAAUACCUCCUCUUGGUCUUCGAAUCGAAUUUAGGAAGAAGCUUUUAAGUGGAAAAAAUAUAGUUUGGCGUCGAUGACGACACAAUUUGUCUCCAAUCCGUGGGUGGCAAACGAGCUUUAAAUUGUGAAAUUGUAUAUUUACAAAAUAAAAUUUAUUAAAAAUAAAAAUAAAAA